rnacentral:lncRNA from 1 species
AAUGGCUAUCUCCUUUCUCUUUUAAAUCUGCCAUUUCGGAUUUCUUCCCCUUGCGGCUUUCACUCCUCUGUUCAAUUCAGUUUCUCACUCUCACUCCUCAACAGCUCCUUUGACAUCGCCGGUCUUGCCUCAGGCCCAAAAUCAGAGGGGCCUAUAUUUUGGAGUAAUUUUUGUUUUUUAAAGAAGAAAAUGGAAAAUCCUUUUUCAUUCCUCUCCUCCUCCCGUCUCUGCUCGACUCGUCGCCUCAUGUUUGACUCACCGAUCCCUAACGGUGAUUAUUCACCAGUUUCUCUCCUUCGAGAUGCCCUACUUUGCCAUGGCCUCACAUCCCCAUUAUAUACACUUUCUUCUCUUCUUAGCCAUUUAACCCAAGGCACUAGGAAUUUCAAUUGUCUGCUUUUUAUGAAGUGAGUAUUAAUGCUCAUAUUAAUUCUUAGUUGCAAUCGGUGCAAGCUCUUUUUUAUUUUGAUCAAAUGGUUGAUAAAGGUUUUGUGCCCAAGUCGGCUACGCUGAAUAAUGUAUUAAAUUUUCUUGUGAAGAGGAAUAAAUUCGAGAAAGCUUGAUAUGUAUUUGAUAGAUAUAAUAAUAGGAGAAUUGUUACGAAUGUGUACACUUUUGGGAUUUUGAUGAACGGUUGUGGUGCUACUGGUGAUUUAAAGAAAGGAUUUCAGGUUUUGGACCAAUGUCUAGCAUGGUGAUAGACUUAUAGUCCAAAUGUUGUUGUAUACACUACAUUGAUUGAUGCCUGAUGGGUCUUGAAGAAUGGUGAAGUUGAAAAGGCAAAGGAAUUGUUUUGUAAAAUGGAAGAGCUGGGUUUGGUUGCUAAUCAGCACACUUGCGGUGUUUUGAUAAAUGGGCUCUUUAUGAAAGGACUUAAAAGAGAUGGAUUUGAGCUCUACGAGAAGAUAAAGCUUGAUUGGGCUUUUCCGGCUUGUAUGCAUACAACUAUGUGAUAUAUGAGUUUUGCCAGGAAUAAGGAUGGUAAGAUGAGCAAAGCUUAUGAACUGUUCGAUUAAAUGCGUGAGUGAGGAGUGGCAUGUAAUGUUGUGACACACAACACUUUAAUUGCAAAGUAAGCUACUUCAUCUUCAUAAUUUCUUUUCUUUCUUGCCCUCAUUUAAACACUUGUUGGAAAGAAGACAAGAAAUCGUAUUGUAAUGCUUAGCUGUCCACAUUGUCUUCACCAUUGAUUGUGCAGUAUGUGAGAUUUAGAAAAGGGAUAAACAAAAUUAUGUAUGUUAACUUCCCAUUACAAAAUUUGCUUAAAUAACUAUAUGCAUAGAUUGUGCAGUGUGUAAGAUUUAAUUUAGCUUGACAGUGCAUGAAUAAUAUGUUUGAAUAUUGCUGAAGGGUUCUGGAUCUAGAAAGCUGUGGGGCAAGGCGAAGGCUCUAGAACCUUUGCAGCCAUAUGAAAUACCAAGAAGCUUAUUUCCUGGUAAUGUGUGCAAGUCUUUAUUCAUCUGUCUUGAAAUUACUGCCUUGUCUACUAACAUAUUGAAUAUCAUUGAUUACUAUUAGCGAUGGAAAAGUGUAUCUUUAGUUAGUUAAUUCAUGUUAUUGUCUAUAUAAUUCACAAGAUCCAUAUUUAUUUGUACAUUAUGCAUUCUUGCUGUGUUAUUUGUUUUUCAAAUUUACACAUAUUUCUACACAUGAUGAUUUUUAAACACUUCCAUUGUGCGUAUAGAAAUUAUAGAGAUUGCCAUGCUUGGUGGAAAUGAAAUUCGAUUCAGAAGUUAGAGAAUUCAUAAGAUAAAUUGAAGAGAUAGAAAAAAUUGUAAGUAGUUAGAUGUAAUCCUUACAUUACUUUGUGCUCUUGGAUAAGAAAAGAUGUUUAGAGAAAGUCGUUCAAAUUCUUUCUUAUAUUCACCUCGCAUUUUGAUUAUCAAAAUCUUUUGUUAGAGAAUUCAUAAGAUAAAUUAAAUCAUAUUGUUGUGCAUGUCUAAAUGUCUAAAUGAGUUACUAAUAUUGUCAUGCCAUUUGUAGGAUGGAAUACAUAUACAUUGGUAAUCGAUGUAAUGCGAAGGUCACAACACGUUCUAAUGUGUCAAAUGUGGAGAAAGUAUACGAUGCAUUAGACGAUGGUCCAUAACGUGUCAACCGUGGAGAAAUUAUACAAUACUGAUACUUUUGCCCUUGAUUAUGAUCCGUACGACCUUUUGAUGUAUUUGUAUGUUUACGAGUUUUUGAGUGUAAAUAUAAUUUUAUAGUGUAUGUUAAAUGUGUGGUUUUUUGUGUUAUGAAUAGAAGUUUAUUUUUC